rnacentral:lncRNA from 1 species
CCAGGCCCAAGACACCGUGCCAGAGACAGCACGAGAAACACUGAAGUCCUUCAGAGGCACAAACUCCCUGCCCAACUGAGAUCACUGCCUCUCUCCACCUGCAGCCCCUACAUGCGGGGUCCUAGACACCCAGGCCCACACUGCACCUAAUGUCCUCACUUUCCCCCCGGGGAUAGUUCUUACAAUUUAAGGGGAAGAUGGUUCUGGGGCUGGUGCAGACUGUGCGCUGCGUCUCCACCUGUUGCCCUGCAGCUUGCCGUGUGGCCAGGCCGGAGUGGAUGCUCCAGAGCCUUUGCUGAGUGAAUCCAAGACUUGCUUUAAAAACAGACUUUCUUCAUUUAAGCUCUGAUUUGGACAAAUACAUCCAAGAAACAGCACACUAUCAAAACGAAUUUCCACACAGCAAUGUAAAAACACAGCACAGAAAAAUGACAACAGCCUGAGGCCAGAACAAAGACUCCUACAAACAUCUUCAUACAACUUAAA